AUUGAACGCUGGCGGCAGGCCUAACACAUGCAAGUCGAACGGUAACAGGAAGAAGCUUGCUUCUUUGCUGACGAGUGGCGGACGGGUGAGUAAUGUCUGGGAAACUGCCUGAUGGAGGGGGAUAACUACUGGAAACGGUAGCUAAUACCGCAUAACGUCGCAAGACCAAAGAGGGGGACUUUCGGGCCUCUUGCCUUCGAAUUUGCCCAGCUGGGAUUAGCUAGUAGGUGGGGUAACGGCUCACCUAGGCGACGAUCCCUAGCUGGUCUGAGAGGAUGACCAGCCACACUGGAACUGAGACACGGUCCAGACUCCUACGGGAGGCAGCAGUGGGGAAUAUUGCACAAUGGGCGCAAGCCUGAUGCAGCCAUGCCGCGUGUAUGAAGAAGGCCUUCGGGUUGUAAAGUACUUUCAGCGGGGAGGAAGGGAGUAAAGUUAAUACCUUUGCUCAUUGACGUUACCCGCAGAAGAAGCACCGGCUAACUCCGUG
rnacentral:rRNA from 1 species